AAGGAAUUGAAGUGGCUGAGGUCUGCUGCUUUAUCUGCCGAGAAGGAAUAUGAACAGCUCCACAGAAAGCUGGAUGAAUUUCAGAAGGAGAGGGAAACUGAAAGGAGUGAGAAAAAGAAGCUUGAUGAAGAUCUUGUGGAGUUGAGUAAUACUGUUGAUGAGUUAACUUCUGCAAGUGGGGAGGCUGCAGUACAAAGACUGCAAGAUGAGAUCAAUGAUUCCAAGGCUAUUCUCAAAUGUGGAGUGUGUCUUGAUCGGCCAAAAGAGGUUGUAAUCACAAAAUGUUAUCAUCUGUUCUGCAAUCCAUGCAUCCAGAGAAACUUAGAGAUCCG
rnacentral:misc_RNA from 1 species